rnacentral:rRNA from 1 species
CACGUAGGCGGACCGGAAAGUUGGGGGUGAAAUCCCGGGGCUCAACCCCGGAACUGCCUUCAAAACUAUCGGUCUGGAGUUCGAGAGAGGUGAGUGGGAUUCCGAGUGUAGAGGUGAAAUUCGUAGAUAUUCGGAGGAACACCAGUGGCGAAGGCGGCUCACUGGCUCGAUACUGACGCUGAGGUGCGAAAGCGUGGGGAGCAAACA